UUCAAAUUUUAGUUGCUAUAGCGACGCGUGUUAUGAAUUCUGUCUGCAUAUAUACACACUCGAACCAGAUCGCUAUCUGUUGGUUGAGAGGCGAAGCGAAUUCAGAGACUUUUGCAGAGCAUUUCUUGAGAUUUUGAAGCUGAGAGGAGACUUUUAUUCUAGAAGGAGAGCGGAGGAUAUUUCUUUUACAUAGUUUUAUUUAUUUUGAAAGACUUCAUAUUAUUUCUGAGGACAGUUUUAUUGUUCUUUUUUAUUUUAGAAGGAGUUUGUAGUUUCGGUUCUUUCUUUCUUUCUUUUUUUUUAGCUUCUUCUUUCUUUCUUCUUCUUCUUUUUUUUUUUUUUUGGAGGAUUAUUUCUGAGGAGAGUUGUAUUUCAUUCUUUUUUUAUAUAUAUUGUAUUUUGUAAGUUAUUGUUUUUAUUGCAGUUUGGAAGAGGAUGUCGAUGGCUCACGGGGGUGAAAGAGGAGCCUCAGGCCGCUCCAGAUCCAGGAGAGCUGCUUCCUCUCAGACGGCUGGUCAGGAGCUUUGGAGACCCGGUUCUGGUGACCACGAUCAGGAUCCGCUGCCAGACCCGACCCAGACACUGAGCCAGGAGAUAUCUGGAUAUUUAACACCUCUGCCGUCAGACUUUUCUGUUUUUGUGUCCACAGGUCAGGAUCACUGGAGGAGGAAGUGGCAGAGCGGCAGCCAGCAGAGCCCAGAUGAUGGACGUCCGUCCACUCCAUUUAAAAGACUUGUUAAACGCUCUCACAGAGCCUCCGGCCACUCCAGAUCCACUCAGACAGAUUCUUCACCGGGCAUCAUGUCCACAUCAUCUCUGUCCCUCUCUGAGGACAAUGUAGAGAGGCGGUCAUGCAGAGAGUUGAUGAGCCUCAGCAGCAGAGGCUCGUACAGCGUCAUAUGGAGGUGGAGUGGUGAUGGAUCAGAUCGCCCAAACCAACAGGGCAACCGGUGUUUGUCCAGGUCCGACAGCCUCGAAGAGUGGAUGUGCCCUCCGCUGCCGGGUCAAGUUCCUGUCGGGCCGUCAGAGACUUCA